AGGUGAACAACAUCAGAGUGCGGCAGUCAGAGAUCCUAAAGAAGGACUCCAUAUGUUUAGUCGAGACAGUACGCCGUACAUCUCUUACGACGAGGAUAUUUGUUUCAGGACCGCUUUCCCGAUACUGACAAGGACAUUUAAGCAAUUAUGUGAGCUGCAGUCUGGAUCCUGCUUCUGUCAGAUGACCUAACACAAAUAGAAAGAUGACAUCGACCCUUGCAAGGACUUCAGACGAUGCCAGCACUGGACUACAUACAGUGGUAAUCAUAUUUUCAGUAGUCCGUGUCAAAUUUUAUUUCAAGUGUUUGGGUGAGAUCUAGACCAAGGACUAAGGCGUAUACUAGGACAGAACUAAGUGUUGUGGCCCACAGGUGAUCCUAAAGCAACAAAGAGGAACCAUGGAGAGGAAGAAGUUGUGUACAGAUGUUUUAAAGGCGGUGUUCGGGACAGGAAACAAAGGCAACAAAGAGGAACCUCUAAAGGCACUGCUUGCAGAGACGAGUGUAGGAAACAAAGACAGAAGACCUGACGAGAAUGUUAUAUGAUUAAAUGUUUUUGUUAUGUACAUGCACAUUAUUAUUUACAAUAUAUUUCUAAGAUACAUAAAUAUGUGACCUUGUAUAUUAAAGGGGGGGUUUAAUGGUAUUUCAAGCAUUCUGACUUAUUAACACAGUUAUAGAGUUGUUUCCUCAUGCUAAACGUAGGCAAAGUGUCAAAAAUGCAGUUGGGCGUGUUUAAGAGUAUUUCUGUGCCGAAUGCACUUCGCCAUGGUUCGUAUAAGUUUCGGCUAAUUUUUUUCGAUUACGGUUCUAACUGACGUUUCAGGGGUUUUCGAUACGUAUCACUUCUUUAUAUGGGCUUCCGCCGGAAAACUUACCCCGGAAAACCCCGCCCAGCCGUCAGUCAGCGGGAGACGCUAGAGCUUGCUAACAGCUUAUCACGCCACUCAGCUUUGUUUAAUUUCAAAAGUCAACAAUGGCACAACAAGAAGUGUGUUUUUGGAUGUAAGGAGAAGACAUCCAGCCUUAUGGAAACAAUGGAUAUAGUUUAUUAUCCGGAUUAGCAGCGGAGUUUUGCGUGUGUGUUUGAUGCGGUGGAUUUUCAUGACGAGUUACACGUGGUAAGUAAGACUUCUGUCUUAUGUUGGAAAUAGGCACGUGUAUAUUAUAUAAAUGACACGAACAUGUAGUGAAUCAUAAGUUAAAACAGUGUUGUAUAGUGUUGCAUGACUCGUACUUGCUCCUCCCGUGUUAUAACUCCUCCUUCUUCAUUUUUUCGUACGUUAUCGGAAAGAUUCGGUAAAGCUAAUCUUUCUUUUAUAAAUCUGAUUAAACUAAAGACUCUUCAGAGAUAUAAAGGAUGUCAUACUACUCCAUAGGUACUCCAGAUUAAUAUCAGAAAUGCAGAAACAGCGUGUGUUGCGUGAGCUUUAAAUCCAGGCUACUGUCUUAACAUCUAAUGACAUCUAAAGUUUGAAUUUACUGAUUUAACAUUGAGUUCAGUCUUUGGCAUGACCUUACUCAGUCAGUAUUGAAGAUGUCAAGAUUAUAUUUUCAGAGAAUGUUUUCUGAAUUGUAUAGGAUGAUUUUAUGUAGAAAACAGUAAGUCACAAAGAAAUACUUUGCUGGGUUUUCACAGGCCGUGUCCCAUUUGUACAACAUAUGUGAAUUAUCUUGAGAGUAAAACUUCUGACAUCCAAACUGUUAUAUUUUAGCAUUUUAAAUGCAGCCACCCUUUGCCUAGAAUUUGAAAUAUAUACCCUUGGGUUUUUUCAGUAAUUUGAGAUCUCACCCUGAGAUAUUUUCAAAGAAUUUUCCAUGUAUUAUGGGCUUGAAUUACUUGUUUAUU